UACGAAGGGGGCGAGCGUUGUUCGGAAUUACUGGGCGUAAAGGGCGCGUAGGCGGCCGAUCAAAUCAGAUGUGAAAGUCCUGGGCUUAACCUGGGGACUGCAUUUGAUACUGAUUGGCUUGAAUGCAGGAGAGGAUAGCGGAAUUCCCAGUGUAGAGGUGAAAUUCGUAGAUAUUGGGAAGAACACCGGUGGCGAAGGCGGCUAUCUGGACUGUGAUUGACGCUGAGGCGCGAAAGCGUGGGGAGCAAACAGG
rnacentral:rRNA from 1 species